rnacentral:rRNA from 1 species
GAUGAACGCUGGCGGCGUGCCUAACACAUGCAAGUCGAACGAUGGCAGCGAUGUCAUAGUGGCGCACGGGUGAGGAACACGUAGCUAACCUGCCCCCGAGUGUGGGAUAACGUCUCGAAAGGGAUGCUAAUACCGCAUAAGCUCACGCUGAGUAAGUAGGUGUGAGAAAAGAUUUAUCGCUUGGGGAGGGGGCUGCGGCCCAUCAGGUAGUUGGUGAGGUAACGGCUCACCAAGCCGACGACGGGUAGGGGGUCUGAGAGGAUGGCCCCCCACACUGGGACUGAGACACGGCCCAGACUCCUACGGGAGGCUG